AAAAAUGUGUGUUUUUUUUUCUAUUGUAAUUUUGGGGGUAUAGAGAAGAUUAGCAUGGCCCCAGCACAAGAAUGACACCCAAAUUCGUGAAGCUUUCCAUAUUAAA
rnacentral:snRNA from 1 species